rfam:Salmonella enterica subsp. enterica serovar Newport str. S09097 S_Newport_S09097_mira454_c812, whole genome shotgun sequence.
AUUUCUCUGAGAUGUUUGCAAGCGGGCCAGUCCCCUGAGCUGAGACUGCAUACCACAAGAAUGUGGCGCUCCGCGGUUGGUGAGCAUGCUCGGUUCGUCCGAGAAGCCUUAAAACUGUGACGACACAUUCACCUUGAACCAAGGGUUCAAGGGUUACAGCCUGCGGCGGCAUCUCGGAGAUUCC